CUGAUUUGAUUCAGGUGUGAAAGAUUACAAUUGGCUCGAACCCUCAUUUAAGUGACUUUGUUUCUGAUAGCUAAUCUGGAUAGAACAAGGAGUCACAGCCAGAAUAUCUUUGUGUCUUGUCACCACUGAUGUCAGAGGUCGCUUCUCACUAUAUGUCAUCAGCACUUGGAACUCUCUCCCUGAAGGAGUUGUGUCGGCUCAAUCCAUCCAAUCUUUUAAACGUUCACUUGAACAUUUCCUUGGUCAUCGUCUUUAUGAGUUAGUCAUUCUGUUUGUGCUGUUGUGUGCUGCAUCUGUAAUUAGCCGACCACCCUGAAAUACUCCUGCUGUAUUCUCGAAGUAUUGGUUGGAAAAUGCAACAGUGACUGGUGAGGGACCAAGAUCCUCAUCAUGGGUGGUGGAGGUCAUCUGAGCCUGACAAUGGAGCUGAGAGCUUUGAGGAAUGCAUGGUGUAUCUUGCCACAGGUGGUGUUGGAAGCCUUGAGCAGGAAGCGCUGCAUGGGGUAGUACAGGUCCUGUCGCAAGUCCUGCCCCAGCUGAUACUACAGAAAAAUUACUGGUGAGAAAGUGUAUGAAAUCUCACCAAUUGUCGUGCUGCAGAACUGUUCCACGCCACAUCCAGUUUUUGUUAAAAUUAUGCAUCUGGCAGCUCACUGGGGUUUAUAGGGGACUAAUAUUUAUAAUGUCUCAGUGCCACCUCAGGCAAUGAAGGAAAGGGUGAAUACCAUAUUUGACGGCAUAAGAGACGCACCUUUUUUCAUAAAAAUGGCUCAUAAAAUCACCUUGUGUCUUAUAUGUAAAUGUGAGGCCUCCCAUAGAUUUAAUUGUGAAAUUUUCUUUAUCUGUACACCCAAAGAUUUACACCACUGGAUAGGCAAGGGUGCUGUAUCAUAUUUUUCAACCAUAAUAUUAUGUAAGGAAAUAAUGAAAAUGAAAACACUCCCUAUUCAAGUGUGUUGUUGACAUUUCAGCAGCUGGGAUGCAUUAUUUGCCUCGAAUUCAUGAGUAGGCCACUAGCUCUGUUUUAUUACUGCAAUCAUGUAGGAUAUUUUUACUAUUGUGAUUGCUUGCUUUUUGUUCAGCUGUACUGCUAGCUUGCUUUAAAUAUUACAUGUUUAAAUACAUAAAAAAAACUUUUUUUCCUGAAUAUGCCCUGCUGAAAUGGGGGUGCAUCUUAUAUGCCAUCAAAUACUAUAUGUCAGACUGUCCUCCAUCCCCAUUCAUUGUAGGUACAUUUCCCUCCAACAUUCUUGCCUUGAAAACUCCAAAAUGCCAAGCAAAUGGCCUUAUACGAGUCAAAAGUUCGUUGGCUAGAAAAAAUUUGUGAGGAUAGGGCAAGGAAAGUCAGCUGCUUUUUAGUUAAUGAGGUAUAUAAACAGCCUUUCACCUGGUUGCACACUACCAUGUAAAUCAGUUCCUGGCCAUCCAAGCAAGACUACAGCUACCACCAACAAGCUGAUGCAUUGAAAAGUGAUUAAAAACCCAUGAAUCACAGCAUGUGGACUAAAAAAAACUCAUCCAUAUCUGCUCAGAGAUGUUGCUGUGAGGACUCUCCAAAACACUACUAGAAGGAUCUCGAGCUUCCCUCAGGUCACCAUCAAAGAAACCACCACUAACAAAGAGAAUGAGGAAAGCUCAUCUAGCUUUCACCCAAAAAAAAUGUGAAUACUGAACAGAACAAGAAUGGAGAAAAGUCAUGUGGAGCAAUGAGUCAGCUUUCUAAUGUGGAGCAAAGAGGAGAGGCAAACUUUGUGCCCCUGAUGGGGCCAGCAAGUAUGACAGUCGCUAUGUGUAAACAAGAGUGAAACACCCAAGAUCAAGUGAUGAUAUGGGCCUGCUUCAGUGGUUAGAUGGGAUGAGGGCAAUUCUUUGUACUACUAAAACAACAUAACCAUAAGUGACAUGUACAUUCAAGUGCUAGAAGAAUAUUUGUUAAAUUUUUUAGACCUUCACAACAUUGAAUUUUUUUGAUGGGACAAUGCACCAUGUCAUAAGUUUAGAAAAACCAUGAAGUGGCACGAGGAUAAUCACAUUAGAGUUGUAGAUAAGCCAGGGAAUUCACCAGACCUGAAUCCAAUAGAACAAAUUUGGGGGUAUAUGAAACAAAAACUAGAAACUAUGGACACAUCUUCAAUACCAAGCCAUAUCAGGCAUUUACAAAGCUUUGGAUUCAUUAUAUACCACUUGAAUGUUGCCAAAACUUGUCUGAUUCCAUGUGUAAAAAAGUGUACAGGUUCUCAAGUCCCAUGGAGGGCACAUCAAGUAUUAAAAGUGA